CAAGGACCGUGUCAAAGCAGGGCUGGUGCAAGGAUUUUUGCCACCCUAGGCAAAAGCUAAUUUUGCCACCCCCUUGACUCCACCCAUUGACCACAUCCUUGACCCACCCAUUUU